UUACUAAUGGCAUACAUCACACAUUUCAGACCUCUUUUCAACCCAGCCCUGACAGCCUUGGAGAAGCUGUAUUCUGUGCCGGGGCAUCUGAGAAUACCCAUCUUUAUGCAUCUAAACUCUCACACCUGCUUCACCAUGCUGCCGCUGUAAAGGUUUCCAGUGGGGGCCAUACAAAAUUGCUGUCCCCAGAGGUCACUGAGAAUGAGGAAAAUACCCAUCAGUCAAAGAGGAGUAGAAGUGACAAGAUGAACUUGCAGAGCCCUCCAAGUUUCUGCUUUCCAAUAGCCUUCACAAGCAAUUACCCCCGACCCCAAACCACCACAUCUGCUUUGUAAUCCAAAAGCCUUCCCAACUGCAAUAAAGCUGCUGUAUCGAUUUCAUCCAAGUGCAAAGAAAAGUAACCAGAGGGCAUCAGAGAGAAGGAAAGCACAAAGAAUUAGAACUAGCAGCUUCCAAAGUAAAGUGAUGAGGAUUCGGGGAGUCUUAGAGGGUCAGUAUGAGACUGUCAGGGAUUCAUUCAUUCCUUGCUCACUGGCCAUAUUCCAGGAACCUUGUUGGGUAUGAGAAGAUGAAGAUGAAAUUCAUUUGUAAUCUCAAGGACCAUCACAUCAU
rnacentral:lncRNA from 1 species